rnacentral:rRNA from 1 species
GACGAACGUUGGCGGCGUGCCUAAUACAUGCAAGUAGAACGCUGAAGAGAGGAGCUUGCUCUUCUUGGAUGAGUUGCGAACGGGUGAGUAACGCGUAGGUAACCUGCCUUGUAGCGGGGGAUAACUAUUGGAAACGAUAGCUAAUACCGCAUAACAAUGGAUGACACAUGUCAUUUAUUUGAAAGGGGCAAUUGCUCCACUACAAGAUGGACCUGCGUUGUAUUAGCUAGUAGGUGAGGUAAUGGCUCACCUAGGCGACGAUACAUAGCCGACCUGAGAGGGUGAUCGGCCACACUGGGACUGAGACACGGCCCAGACUCCUACGGGAGGCAGCAGUAGGGAAUCUUCGGCAAUGGGGGCAACCCUGACCGAGCAACGCCGCGUGAGUGAAGAAGGUUUUCGGAUCGUAAAGCUCUGUUGUAAGUCAAGAACGGGUGUGAGAGUGGAAAGUUCACACUGUGACGGUAGCUUACCAGAAAGGGACGGCUAACUACGUG